CUGAUUUCCAGUGGGCUGCUCUCUAAAGGCCUCCCAUGUCCUUCAGGGCUGCAGACUCAGACACUGGCCUGGUUCAGUGAACGCUAGGAUCCAGGCCCCUCUGCUCAGCUGAAGAGCAUCUGGGGGGCAAUGCCCCUGCUCCAGGUCAACGACAAAGGCUUCCUCUCAGACCUCAAACCCCUGAGGCUGCCGCUCACCCCUCCCCAGCUCCCCUAGGGACCCAUGGGGUGCGCAAGCCACUCUCAGCUCCAGGUGACUCUGACUUCAUCGUAUGCAUCAAACUCUGCCUCCUGAAGAUGAACUAUAUUCUCAUAGGCCUCUCAUGAGACACCUCUGCUGGGAGAGCUGGAAGCAUGAAAAAAAUCUGACUCACUGGAAGAGUCGACUCAUUGGAAAAAAAAAAAAACUCUGAAGCUGGGAAAGACUGAAGGCAGGAGAAGGGGACCACAGAGGAUGAGAUGGUUGGAUGGCAUCAGUGACUCAAUGGACAUGAGUCUGAGCAAGCUCCAGGAGGUGGUGAAGGACAGGGAAGCCUGGUGUGCUGUAGUCCAUGGAGUCACAAAGAGUCAAACACAACUGAGCAACCGAACAACUUACGAGACAGCUCUGCUUGGAGAGCUGGAAGCAUGAAAAAUCCCAGGAACCCCAGGUUUGGCUAAGAAGGAACAACUCCAGAUUAAUAACAGAAUCUCUGGAUGGCCUUGGGCAGGAGCAUGGAGGGCGGAAGAGCCUCACUGGCCAGUUGUCAGCACCUCCAUCUCUUCUGAAGGGCAGACUGAGGGCAAGGGAAAGUCAAGCGUUCAGACAGGCCUCCCAACUCCCAACCCAGAGAGAAAAGGUCAUGUCUGGGGACCUAGGGGAAAACUGACCUUCCCUAGGAGAGGCCCCUGCAGUUUCAUAUCCGCCCCACCCCGCUACCCUUCCUUCCAGCCUUGCACGCCAACCAGCCUGGAACACCUCCCUGCACAGCCUAAGUGGCAAUGGUUGGGUCAAGAUGCAGCCCUGGUGGUCCAGAGGCCGCGUCAGUGGAAGGAAAUCUACCCUCACCCCCACCUCAGGGCUGAACUGGGCAGAGCCUGCCAGGAAUAGGGCAGAGCCUGCUCGGUUUAAAGAACCGACAGAGGUUGCAGGAGCAGCUUUGCAUUCAGGAAAAUGCAUUGAGCUGAGGCCAGGUCCGAGUCUGAGUCAGCUCUGUCCCUUUUGGAGGCAUGGCCUGGGGUCCAGCCCUGGGCUGGGCUCAGUUUCCAUUCUGAGGGGUCUGGGUGGCUCCUGAGGCCCCUCCUGUUUGGAUUGUCGGUGUUGCCAGCUCUGUGCGAGCUGGGAAUCAAGGGAGAAUGGCCAAGGUUGGCGGCUACCGAGGAUUCCCUAACAAUGGUAGGAAGACCAAAUUCCCAGGGGGGCCCAAGGGUAUAAGGAUGGCUUUCUAACUAGGCCAACCAGGACCUGGUACAAGGAAGGCCUUCAGUCUUGGCCCUGACCCCGGGGCAGGUCUAGACAACCACUUUCAUUCCCCUUCAUCAGAUGGGUUCAUGAAAGUCCUUUGGAAAGUCCUUUAGGGACGGCUGUGUUGAGGCUGGGAAGACAGCGGGGCAGGGGGAUUGAGAACUUCAGCGGGUGAAUGGAUGACCAGAGUGGUCCCUGAGCCCCCUUCCCUAGCCCCCUCUGAGCCCCCAUCCUCCUUGCCAGGUCUGUGUCCCUCUCUGAUCCUCCACUCCCUCACUACAACCCCCUCCCAGCACCAAGCCCCUUCUUCCACACUGGAACUCCCUCCUUUCUGGGAGUUCUCCCACUUCUCUGAACCCCUACAUCCAUCACCAAGCUCUCCCGCUUUUGGAGCUUCCUCCCCCACCUCUCUGGGCCCUGGAGGCAGAGCUAUCCUUCCACAAUCCCCUUGGUGGCCCUGUUAAAGAUCUCAAAAAACAAAAGAACAAAAACAAAACCCUUCUCUAGGUGUGACCAGCCUGAAAGGCUUGAACCCUGGAAGGGGUCUCAAAGGCCAGUCCCUUAGCUGGAGCCCCAAGGCUCUGGGUUGGGUGGGGCAGAAC
ensembl:lncRNA